rnacentral:lncRNA from 1 species
UCUUCCCUGUUUCAGUGUCACCACCAUUAUUUGCAAUAAUUCUCAAUCUCCACUCUAGCAUCCUCAGCUAGAUAAUGGUACCUUUAAUUAUGACUGAAAUACCAAGAGUUUUUGUAACUUGACUUACAGGGCAAUUGCCUCCUCUGAAACAAAAAGUGUGGCACUAAUUUUUUUUUUUUUUUGUAUGUUGAACCUGGUUAUUUCCCUCAGAGUUUCAUUUCCACUCUCUUCUAGCUAUAUUGCAGUACACAUUACAAGGAGAGAGUUUUAAAAAUCCAAUUGGUGGGAAACAUCACUUUCUUAAUGGAAGCCUGUACUGACUCCACUAAGUAAAAUGUGAACACAACUUCUAAGUUCCUCUGUGUUUCAUCAUUCAAAUUUCUCCCAAGUUUUACUUAGAGAGUGCUCCUUUUUAACCAUUUUAUGCAGAUUAUUCAAGGAUGCUUCUGACCUACCACUUUGAGAUAUUAGGCUCUUACUAAUAUUAUUUAUGAAGAAUGCGACUUCUCUUGCUAUCUAACUGCAGUGCUUUGCUUUUUAUUUGCUUUGCUACUUGCCAAAUUGAGAAAGCAAUACCAAGAUGCCAGAAGAGUAUAUUGAUCACCACCAUUUCUUACCUCAAGUUUGAGAGCACMUGGGAGAAAAGCUAGUCCAGAAAUCUAAGGAGCAUCUUUUCUCCUCCAAGGCUCCAGCAGUGUCCUCUUUUUCUGACUGUGGUACUCUGUUUUGCAAGCAUGUUUUCUCCUUGCUACCCCUUUUCCUAGUCCUACAAUCUUCCCCCUAGAGCUGAUGAAGCACUUACAUUUUGACCUGCAGGAUCCCUGUGGACUGCAGAGUUGAGCCCUGCCAUCCAGACUGCCUUUCUGCUUCAUUUUGCUCCUGACCUAAACCCCCCUGCUAUUCCAGGCCUGGCCUCUCAUGACCAGAGACUGCUGACUCAUCCUGGCCUGUGCCAAGCUGUGCAGUCGCUUAGUGAUGUGGACAGGAGUCGAAGGACUAGAAUGAGAUCACUGAACUCAUUUCACUUGUUGCUUACGGUACAGUCCAGCAUGAGCUGGAAAUGUAGGAACCUCAGCCUCCCGAGCAGAAAGACACUCUGGAACACUGUGAACUCGACACACUAA